rnacentral:tRNA from 1 species
UCGUGCUGCCGUGGCUGUUGCUGUGCGCGAGCUUCACGCUCGCGUUCGGGCGCCGGCUCGGCGAAGCGCUGCGGCGGCGCUGGCAUAUC